UUGGGAGGGUUCUAUUUGACAUGAAGAAAUUUCAGAUCCCAUCAAUUUUUUCUAGUUUUAAAAAAAAUCUGUCCAUGUUCAUUAAUAGUCCAGUUAAUUUUUCUUAUCUUCUCUUACUUUUUGCUUUUUUCCCAUACAGGGUAAUGUUUAUAUGUACUACAAACUGUAUGGCUUCUAUCAGAACCUGCAUCGAUACAUUCUAUCCAGAAGUGAUAGCCAACUGCUGGACACCAUUAUUCUUUCAUACAACCUUAAUUCAUCUAUACAUAACCAAGUCCCAAUGCUAAGGAGUGGAAUUAUGUGGUGGACGGAUAAAUACGUCAAGUUCAAGAAUCCAAGUUCCAGUAAUCUUUCUAAUGCAUUUGCAGGUUGCCCAGAAGUGUUGCCGAUCCACACAUCUACCCACUGAACCACAAAGCCCCCAUGCUGGCCCAAGCCUGUCUAUGACCUGGAUGCAGAGGGUCCGGGAACCCACAGCUUCGUCAACAAUGACUUCAUCGUGUGGAUGUGGGCAGCAGCCUUCCCCACUUUCAAAAAACUACCGUCACCUCAGUCGAAUACAGUACUUUAUGGAAGGUUUGCCUGCUGGGAAUUACACUUUCAACAUAACCUACAGUAUCCU